UGUAAAGCUCUAUCAGCAGGGAAGAAAAUGACGGUACCUGACUAAGAAGCCCCGGCUAACUACGUGCCAGCAGCCGCGGUAAUACGUAAGGUGCAAGCGUUAUCCGGAUUUACUGGGUGUAAAGGGAGCGUAGACGGCUAAGCAAGUCAGAAGUGAAAGGCUGUGGCUCAACCCCGGGACUGCUUUUGAAACUGUUUGACUGGAGUGCUGGAGAGGUAAGCGGAAUUCCUAGUGUAGCGGUGAAAUGCGUAGAUAUUAGGAGGAACACCAGUGGCGAAGGCGGCUUACUGGACAGUAACUGACGUUGAGCUCGAAAGCGUGGGGAGCAAACAGGAUUAGAUACCCUUGUAGUCCACGCCGUAAACGAUGAAUACUAGUUGUCGUGGAGCACAGCUCUUCGGUGCCGCCGCAAACGCAAUAAGUAUUCCACCUGGGGAGUACGUUCGCAAGAAUGAAACUCAAAGGAAUUGAC
rnacentral:rRNA from 1 species